rnacentral:rRNA from 1 species
GAUGAACGCUAGCGGCAGGCCUAACACAUGCAAGUCGAGGGGUAGAAGUUUUCGGACUUUGAGACCGGCGCACGGGUGCGUAACGCGUAUGCAAUCUGCCUUGUACUGGGGGAUAGCACAGAGAAAUUUGGAUUAAUACCCCAUAGUAUUUUCGGUUGGCAUCAACUGAUUAUUAAAGUUUUUCGGUACAAGAUGAGCAUGCGUCCCAUUAGCUAGUUGGUAUGGUAACGGCAUACCAAGGCUACGAUGGGUAGGGGUCCUGAGAGGGAAAUCUCCCACACUGGUAAUGAGACACGGACCAGACUCCUACGGGAGGCAGCAGUGAGGAAUAUUGGUCAAUGGUCGCAAGACUGAACCAGCCAUGCCGCGUGCAGGAUGAAGCAUCUAUGGUGUGUAAACUGCUUUUGUACGGGAAGAAACACUGCUACGUGUAGCAGCUUGACGGUACCGUAAGAAUAAGGAUCGGCUAACUACGUGCCAGCAGCCGCCGCAGUAA